rnacentral:misc_RNA from 1 species
GACAGGUACCCCCAACACAAUAAUGUUGAACUUCAACAACAUAGGUAUUGUAAUUUUCAUCCAAAGAUACAAAUGAACUUCGUCUUUGAUUUUCAGGCCCUUUAUCACCAAAGAAAAUUGUGCCAGAAUUGCUCUUUCCAAAACACAAUGAGAAUGAGCGUGGAACAAAUCCAGACUUCGCCAGCAAACUUGGAACAGAAAUUUCUCCUGGCCCUAAUCCCAUCACCCCAUCUGGAGCAGCUCCA